rnacentral:tRNA from 1 species
AAGAAAUUAGUUAAUCAAUAACACUACUUUGUCAAAGUAGAAUAAUGAGCUAACACCUCAUAUUUCUUU